CAGGCCUAACACAUGCAAGUCGAACGGUAACAGGUCUUCGGAUGCUGACGAGUGGCGAACGGGUGAGUAAUACAUCGGAACGUGCCCAAUCGUGGGGGAUAACACAUCGAAAGAUGUGCUAAUACCGCAUAAGAUCUACGGAUGAAAGCGGGGGAUCGCAAGACCUCGCGCGAAUGGAGCGGCCGAUGGCAGAUUAGGUAGUUGGUGGGGUAAAGGCCUACCAAGCCGACGAUCUGUAGCUGGUCUGAGAGGACGACCAGCCACACUGGGACUGAGACACGGCCCAGACUCCUACGGGAGGCAGCAGUGGGGAAUUUUGGACAAUGGGCGCAAGCCUGAUCCAGCAAUGCCGCGUGCAGGAUGAAGGCCUUCGGGUUGUAAACUGCUUUUGUACGGAGCGAAAAGGUUUUCUCUAAUACAGAAGGCCCAUGACGGUACCGUAAGAAUAAGCACCGGCUAUUCUGC
rnacentral:rRNA from 1 species